rnacentral:rRNA from 1 species
UACGUAGGGGGCGAGCGUUGUCCGGAUUUAUUGGGCGUAAAGAGCUCGUAGGCGGCUUGCCAAGUCAGGGGUGAAAUCUUUCGGCUUAACCGGAAAAGUGCCUCUGAUACUGGCGAGCUAGAGGGAGGUAGGGGCAUGUGGAACUUCCGGUGGAGCGGUGAAAUGCGUUGAUAUCGGAAGGAACGCCGGUGGCGAAAGCGACGUGCUGGAUCUCUUCUGACGCUGAGGCGCGAAAGCUAGGGGAGCGAACGGG